UAAUGGUGGCAGUGCACGACAACUAGAAAAAUGUUUUGCUGGACACAAGAAUGUUGUGCGAAACCAAGAAGCUUUUGAUCAUAGUUACACUGCUCAGCAAGGGGAAACAAAUUCUGCUGCACAUAAGAAUGUUGUUCAGAUUAAAGAAACUUUGCUUCAGAAUGUUCGUACACAGCAGGGAGAAAAAACGUUUGCUGCAAACAAAGUGGUAUCUUUUCAUAAUCGCAUACACAUUUAUGUUCAAACUAUA